rnacentral:rRNA from 1 species
UACGUAGGGGGCAAGCGUUGUCCGGAUUUAUUGGGCGUAAAGAGCGUGUAGGCGGCUGGGUAGGUCCGUUGUGAAAACUCGAGGCUCAACCUCGAGACGCCGAUGGAAACCCUCCAGCUAGAGUCCGGAAGAGGAGAGUGGAAUUCCUGGUGUAGCGGUGAAAUGCGCAGAUAUCAGGAGGAACACCGGUGGCGAAGGCGGAUCUCUGGGCCAUUACUGACGCUGAGGAGCGAAAGCGUGGGGAGCGAACAGG